CAUGGUUUUGAUCUCAAAAGGAAGCAAAAGAUAGCUUCAAACACUCUAUAGGUUCCAUAAAAACCACUCUAAACUUAAUCCAAACCCUAGUUUGAGUUCUACCAAGAUUAGGGUUCAAGCUUACCUCUAAGCUUGCUCCAAAGGGGAAGAAAAGGAGAUAGCUUCACUCCUUUGCUUCCUCUUCACCUUCUUUCUCCUUUUCUUCUUCUUCUUUUCCUUCUUUUCUUUGUCUUCUUCUUCUCCUUCUUGUCUUCUAGAGAGAGAAAGAAAGAAGAGAGGGAGUGUGAGGGAGAGAAUGAGAGAAAUAUCCCAAAACCCCUCACAAUACAACCCAUAUAUUGCACUUUUGCAAAUAAACCCCNUCCUUUGCUUCCUCUUCACCUUCUUUCUCCUUUUCUU
rnacentral:lncRNA from 1 species